GAUGAAGAACGUAGCGAAAUGCGAUAAGUAAUGCGAAUUGCAGAAUUCCAGUGAGUCAUCGAAUCUUUGAACGCACAUUGCGCCCUUUGGUAUUCCGAAGGGCAUGCCUGUUCGAGCGUCAUUAUCACCCCUCAAGCCCUCGGCUUGGUGUUGGACGGUUUGGUGGAGGCCCCCUCGGGGGCUCCUGCCCCUCCCAAAGACAAUGACGGCGGCCUCGUUGGACCCCCGGUACACUGAGUUCUUCACGGGACACGUAUCGGACACAUGGGUUUACGGGACACGGUCUGCCUCCCCUCAGGGAGAAUCUUUCUAAGGUUGACCUCGGAUCAGGUAGGGAUACCCGCUGAACUUAAGCAUAUAAUAAGCGGAGGA
rnacentral:misc_RNA from 1 species